AUACGUAGGUGACAAGCGUUAUCCGGAUUUACUGGGCGUAAAGGGCGUGUAGGCGGUCUUGCAAGUCAGAAGUGAAAUUCCUGAGCUCAACUCGGGCGCUGCUUCUGAAACUGCAGGACUUGAGUGCUGGAGGGGAUAGCGGAAUUCCUAGUGGAGCGGUAAAAUGCGCAGAUAUUAGGAAGAACACCGGUGGCGAAGGCGGCAAUCUGGACAGUAACUGACGCUGAGGCGCGAAAGCGCGGGGAGCAAACAGGAUUAGAUACCCUGGUAGCCCACGCCGUAAACGAUGAAUACUAGGUGUAGGGGGUAUCGACUCCCUCUGUGCCGCAGUUAACACAAUAAGUAUUCCGCCUGGGGAGUACGGCCGCAAGGUUGAAACUCAAAGGAAUUGACGGGG
rnacentral:rRNA from 1 species